GCUCGUUAUAAGACAUAGGCCAGCUACACCUGUCGAGGUUGAGGAGAGAAGCCGCAACAGUGGAACCCUCAUCAGUGAAACCAAAAUACAUAACAUACAUGGUCCGAAUGGUUUUUUGCAGCAAUUACCAAUAAGGCAGACGGCAACUAUUAAUAGACUAGCUGAUUUGGGUAGACGGUAGUGCACACAGCAACAUUUACCCCAAAAUUUAGUCAAGCUGCUAUUCCACUAAAAAAUGUUUCACGACGUCUAGGUUUUACAGGAUUUGGAGGAAAAGCUUAUGGAACACCGUAUAUACAGUAAUAAACCUUUUUGAGUACUCCUCGGGGGGUAAAAUCUGAUCAGAGUUGAUAAUGAGAAGAAGCAUGAAUUUUGCCGAUUCAGAGUUGCAUACAAAUUUACUGUGGUAUGAAAGGGAGCAACAACCGUACUAUGGCAGAGUGGCACAGGUAAUUUUGUAAACAAACACUUCUUAUAAUUUUAAGAGAUAAUUGCUAUUUAUUUUGCAAUAUUCCGAUAUCCAGUGUGUAUCCAGAGGCAGUGGCAACUGAGCCUCACUAAAAUCUACUCAUCAUGUUGGAGCAGCUCCGGGUAAUGGACCAUUUAAUUCGCUGGCUGAACUUGUGACCACCUUAACCUUCGGAGUCUCCAAGAAAA